rnacentral:rRNA from 2 species
CAAUGGCCGAGUUGUAAUUUGUAGAUGGUAACUCUGCGAGGAGUCUUUGCUCAAGUGUCCUGGAAUGGGCCAUCAUGGAGGGUGACAAUCCCGUGAGGCAUUGACGUAAUCGCGUGUAGAGUGCUAUCGAAGAGUCGAGUUGUUUGGGAAUGCAGCUCAAAGUGGGUGGUAGGCACCAUCUAAAGCUAAAUAUUGGCGAGAGACCGAUAGCGAACAAGUACUGUGAAGGAAAGAUGAAAAGCACUUUGAAAAGAGAGUGAAAUAGUACGUGAAAUUGUUAAUAUGGAAGGAUAUAAAAUUNGACAUGAGCAUCAAGUUAAUCUUCUCUCGGGGAGUUGGCGCUUGGUGCUUGUACCAGCAUCAGUUCUGGCAGAAGGAUAAAGAACAUUGAAUGUAGCAGCUUCUGCUGUGU